UCUAGGUCAUUGAGAAUGCUCUUUAAAGAGU
rnacentral:piRNA from 1 species